rnacentral:rRNA from 1 species
GCAUCGAUGAAGAACGCAGCGAAAUGCGAUAAGUAAUGUGAAUUGCAGAAUUCAGUGAAUCAUCGAAUCUUUGAACGCACAUUGCGCCCGCCAGUAUUCUGGCGGGCAUGCCUGUUCGAGCGUCAUUUCAACCAUCAAGCCCACGGCUUGUGUUGGGGACCUGCGGCUGCCCGCAGGCCCUGAAAACCAGUGGCGGGCUCGCUGUCACCCCGAGCGUAGUAGCAAUCACCUCGCUCAGGGCGUGCUGCGGGUGCCGGCCGUUAAACCUGCCUUCGUGCACCCCAAGGUUGACCUCGGAUCAGGUAGGAAGACCCGCUGAACUUAAGCAUAUCAAUAAGCGGAGGA